rnacentral:rRNA from 1 species
UACGAAGGGAGCUAGCGUUGUUCGGAAUCACUGGGCGUAAAGCGCACGUAGGCGGAUUGCUAAGUCAGGGGUGAAAUCCUGGAGCUCAACUCCAGAACUGCCUUUGAUACUGGCGAUCUUGAGUUCGGGAGAGGUGAGUGGAACUGCGAGUGUAGAGGUGAAAUUCGUAGAUAUUCGCAAGAACACCAGUGGCGAAGGCGGCUCACUGGCCCGAUACUGACGCUGAGGCACGAAAGCGUGGGGAGCAAACAGG